ACACCCAGGCGAACUAGCUACGAGCUAACCUGAAGCUAACCCAAAAAAAAAAAUAAUAAUAAUAAAAAAAAAAACCUGAAGCUAACCCUGGCUAACCCAAAGCUAAAGCGGAGGUGGGAGCCGAGCUAACGGAUGUAGCCACCUAGCUUCAACCCAACCGGAGCUAACUGGAACACCCAUCGACCUGAACCUCACACGGAGUUUAGGUGGAGGUUUUCUGCGCCUGUUCGUGAGAAGUACCUGUAUUAAAAAAGAUUUAAAUCGAUCUGUUUAAAUGUCACCAUGGCAGCCUGUGUGUCUCCAACAUCAGCUACACAAAGCAGCUAGUCCAUUUGGAUCAUUGGAGACAGCUAUGUGAGGCGUGGUGCCCAGAGAGCUGCAGAGACAACCUUGGCCUCCCUGACGUCUGUGUCUCCUGGUUCAGUUGGGGCGGACCAUCGACAUACAUACAUGUGCCGACACUUUGCGCCCUGUUUUAUAAAAUUUAGUGUU